GUUCAGUGAUGUUUUUUCAAAUGUCUGACCUGAACACUAAUGUGGACAAAUGCUUACUGAUGAA